GGUGGUUAUAGCGUUGGGGUUCCACCUCUUCCCAUUCCGAACAGAGAAGUUAAGCCCAACCACGCCGAUGGUACUGCGUAGAGUGGGAGAGUAGGUAACUGCC
rnacentral:rRNA from 1 species